AUACGUAGGGGGCAAGCGUUAUCCGGAUUUACUGGGUGUAAAGGGAGCGUAGACGGUUCUGCAAGUCUGGAGUGAAAGCCCGGGGCUCAACCCCGGGACUGCAUUUGAAACUGCCGUACUAGAGUGCAGGAGAGGUAAGUGGAAUUCCUAGUGUAGCGGUGAAAUGCGUAGAUAUUAGGAGGAACACCAGUGGCGAAGGCGGCUUACUGGACUGUAACUGACACUGAGGCUCGAAAGCGUGGGGAGC
rnacentral:rRNA from 1 species